AAGCAUAUCAAUAAGCGGAGGAAAAGAAACCAACAGGGAUUGCCCCAGUAACUGCGAGUGAAGCGGCAAAAGCUCAAAUUUGAAAUCUGGCGCCUUUGGCGUCCGAGUUGUAAUUUGGAGAGACAUCUUCGGGGAUGGCAUACUGUCCUAAGUUCCUUGGAACAGGACGUCACAGAGGGUGAGAAUCCCGUGCCUGGAUGGUUGUCCAUCCCCAUUGUGAAGGGUCUUCGACGAGUCGAGUUGUUUGGGAAUGCAGCUCAAAAUGGGUGGUAAACGUCAUCUAAAGCUAAAUAUUGGCGAGAGACCGAUAGCGCACAAGUAGAGUGAUCGAAAGAUGAAAAGCACUUUGAAAAGAGAGUAAAAUAGUACGUGAAAUUGUUGAAAGGGAAGCGCUUGAGACCAGACACGGUCCGUGGUAAUCGCCCGCGCUUCGGUGCAGGUGCUCUUACCAUGACCGGUGCCAGCAUCGGUUCUGGCGGUGGGAUAAAAGGCAGGGGAAUGUAGCUUCCUCACUGGGAGUGUUAGAGCCCCUGUCACAAUGCCACCAGUCGGGACCGAGGACUGCGCUUCAGCUAGGAUGUUGGCGUAAUGGUCUUAAGCGACCCGUCUUGAAACACGGACCAAGGAGUCUAACAUCUAUGCGAGUGUUCGGGUGGAAAACCCUUGCGCGUAAUGAAAGUGAACGGAGGUGGGAACCCCGAAAGGGAGUGCACCAUCGACCGAUCCUGAUGUCUUCGGAAGGAUUUGAGUAAGAGCAUAGCUGUUGGGACCCGAAAGAUGGUGAACUAUGCCUGAAUAGGGUGAAGCCAGAGGAAACUCUGGUGGAGGCUCGCAGCGGUUCUGACGUGCAAAUCGAUCGUCAAAUUUGGGUAUAGGGGCGAAAGACUAAUCGAACCAUCUAGUAGCUGGUUCCUGCCGAAGUUUCCCUCAGG
rnacentral:rRNA from 1 species